rnacentral:rRNA from 1 species
UACGGGGGGGGCAAGCGUUGUUCGGAAUUACUGGGCGUAAAGGGCUCGUAGGCGGCCAACUAAGUCAGACGUGAAAUCCCUCGGCUUAACCGGGGAACUGCAUCUGAUACUGGAUGGCUUGAGUUCGGGAGAGGGAUGCGGAAUUCCAGGUGUAGCGGUGAAAUGCGUAGAUAUCUGGAGGAACACCGGUGGCGAAGGCGGCAUCCUGGACCGACACUGACGCUGAGGAGCGAAAGCCAGGGGAGCAAGCGGG